CUGGAGGACUAGACAGGGAAAUAAGAAGACCUUGGACACUUGUUGGUUGUAUGGCCCUGGGCGAAUCUCUUUCCCGCUGUUUGCCUUAGUUUCCUCAUCUAUAAAAUGGGGAUAAUAAUAGCACCUAUGGACCAGGAUCAAUGAAGUCAUGUUUGAAAAGCACUUUGCCGCCCUCUGGGCUCUCCCUGAGCGCUCGGCCUGUUAGCAAGCGUGGCCAUUCCUGAUGGUCAUUCAGCCAUUCCUUGUGGCCAUUCCUUGUGGUUGUUCCUCAUGGCCGUUCCUCAUGGUCAUUCCUCAUGGCCGUUCCUCGCAUCCCAUUUGAAGGUGGCUGCCUAGGAAGCGAGCCUCCUCCUCUCCCCUGGAGGCUGGAAGGGCCGGACUUGGGGGCCCCCUGAAGCUCUGAGGUUCUAGGUUUGGGGUGCAGCUGGCCUCCAUCCCGAGCCUCAGGAGCUCAGGGCUUCCUUUGCCGGCCUGUUGGCACAGGCCCACAUGGGGGCUCGACAGAUAGUGGCUGUUUGAUUGAUUCUCCUCACCAGAGGCCCUCAUGCCCAGGCUGGGCAGCCUCUUGUCCAGUCCCAAGUCCGGGAUACACUCAGCUCUGUUCUGCAUCAGCUCUCUGCCGAUGACUCUGGAUCCCCAGAUGGAGAGGAGAGAGCCCUGGGCCAGCAGGUGGGGGACCUGGGCUCUCCCCCUGACUCACCAUGUGACCUUGGGGAAGUCACUUGCCCUCUGUGGACCCCAGCGUCCCUGCCUUAAAAGUGGCCACACUGCAGGAGAACUGGAGAGCAUCAAGGGAGGGAGUGUGACCCCAGAGGAAUGUGGAGUCCAGGUUCUAGGGGACAAGGGAUCUGAGGAUGGUUCUCCAACCAUCACGUCUGCAUCAGAGGCCCCCUGGAUGUUGAGGAAAGAGAGCCGGGCUCUACCCUUGCUUCAUUGCGCAACCUUGGCUCCUCCAUCUCCAGACUGCCCUCUGCCCCCAGAGGAGCAUGGAAUGGCUGCCAGACUCCUUCCAGCCAGGGCCCAGCUGGUGGAGGUGAUGAGAUGUGCCCACUGCCUGCUUGGUGUUUCAGGAGACAGUGACAUUCAAGGAUGUGUCUGUGGACUUCACCCUCGAGGAGUGGGGACACCUCGGCCCUGCUAGAGGGAGCUCUACAGGGAGGUGAUGCUGGAGAACUACAGGAACCUGGUCUCCCUGGGUGAGGAAGCCUUCAUCUGGGGCCUCAGAGUGGUGGGGAUCCCAAAUCAGAGCCUCUUCCUUGGACCCAGAUCCUGGCAGUGUCCGCUCCCCUUCCCAGCCCCGCAUGAUCUCCUCCCUUCAGGGCUCUUCACACCACGGGCUGCAUCUCCCUUUCCCCAAGACUAAGGAGCUCAGGAUUCCAUUAGUAGACACCCCGCCUCCCCCCCCCCACCAAAAUACUCGGCCACAUCCACUGUCCCUCUCUAGGAGCCGAGUGCCAAAGUGCCAAACCAAAGCUAAUCUCCCAGUUGGAGCAAAGCAGAGAGUCGUGGCUGUUGGAAGAAGAUCCGCAUGGCCUCUGUCCAGGUGAGCAGAGCAGAAGGGAGGUAUCAGUUGUGAGCUCCUUGAGGGCGGAGAGUGACCAACGGUGUCCAAGGCUGCAGAGAGGCCGAGGAGAAUGAGGACUGACGGGGCAGCAAAGAGACCAUCGGUAACUUUGGAUGGAACAGUUUGGGUGGAAUGAUGAGGUUGGACACAGGCCGUAAGGGGUGAAGGAGAGAGUGAGAGGAGAGAAAGUGGAGGCCCUGACUGUAGGCGGCCUUCUGGGGGAGUUAGCACCAAAGGGCAGAAGGGUUAGCAGGGAUGGAAGGAUCAAGGGAGGGUUUCUUCAGGAUAGCAGAACCAUGGGCGUGUUUGUAGGCAGAAGGGAUGGGCAGGUAGAUGGGAGAGACAGAAAAGAAGUGAAAGAGAGUUUCCUAUCUGCUCCAUCGCCUGUGAUGCGUGUGCCCCAACACCUCUUCCUGUCGAAGCCCAAUUCAAGUGUCUCCUUUACCAGAGGCUGUUCACCUGAGCCCCUCCUCCUCAGCUCAGUGACUGGCUCCCCUCACUCCCCUCACCCUUAUUCGGCACGCUGGUUUAAUGGUUAUUUGUCUUCUCUCUGACUCUGAACCAACUGAGAGCAGGC
rnacentral:lncRNA from 1 species